rnacentral:rRNA from 1 species
CGGGAACUCAAAGGAGACUGCCAGUGAUAAACUGGAGGAAGGUGGGGAUGACGUCAAGUCAUCAUGGCCCUUACGAGUAGGGCUACACACGUGCUACAAUGGCAUAUACAAAGAGAAGCGACCUCGCGAGAGCAAGCGGACCUCAUAAAGUAUGUCGUAGUCCGGAUUGGAGUCUGCAACUCGACUCCAUGAAGUCGGAAUCGCUAGUAAUCGUGGAUCAGAAUGCC